rnacentral:tRNA from 1 species
GCGCUAGUAGCUCAGCGCC